AAAUUGAAGAGUUUGAUCAUGGCUCAGAUUGAACGCUGGCGGCAGGCCUAACACAUGCAAGUCGAACGGUAACAGGAAACAGCUUGCUGUUUUGCUGACGAGUGGCGGACGGGUGAGUAAUGUCUGGGAAACUGCCUGAUGGAGGGGGAUAACUACUGGAAACGGUAGCUAAUACCGCAUAACGUCGCAAGACCAAAGAGGGGGACCUUCGGGCCUCUUGCCAUCGGAUGUGCCCAGAUGGGAUUAGCUAGUAGGUGGGGUAA
rnacentral:rRNA from 1 species